rnacentral:rRNA from 1 species
AUUGAACGCUGGCGGCAGGCUUAACACAUGCAAGUCGAGCGAGCGGCGGACGGGUGAGUAAUGUCUGGGAACCUGCCUGAUGGAGGGGGAUAACUACUGGAAACGGUAGCUAAUACCGCAUACCAUCAGAUGUGCCCAGAUGGGAUUAGAUAGUAGGUGGGGUAAUGGCUCACCUAGGCGACGAUCCCUAGCUGUUCUGAGAGGAUGACCAGCCACACUGGGACUGUGAAACGGUCCAGACUCCUACGGGAGGGAGCAGUGGGGAAUAUUGCACAAUGGGCGCAAGCCUGAUGCAGCCAUGCCGCGUGUGUGAAGAAGGCCUUAGGGUUGUAAAGCACUUGCAGCGAGGAGGCGUUACUCGCAGAAGAAGCACCAGCUAACUACGUGCCAGCAGCCGCGGUAAUU